rnacentral:rRNA from 1 species
GACGAACGCUGGCGGCGUGCUUAACACAUGCAAGUCGAGCGAAGCCCUUUUCUUCGGAGAAGGUGACUUAGCGGCGAACGGGUGAGUAACACGUGGGCAACCUGCCCUUAGCUCUGGGAUAAGCGAUGGAAACGUCGUCUAAUACCGGAUAUGACCUCAUGGCGCAUGUUGUGGGGUGGAAAGAUUUUUCGGCUAGGGAUGGGCCCGCGGCCUAUCAGCUUGUUGGUGGGGUAGUGGCCUACCAAGGCUUCGACGGGUAACCGGCCUGAGAGGGCGACCGGUCACACUGGGACUGAGACACGGCCCAGACUCCUACGGGAGGCAGCAGUGGGGAAUAUUGCACAAUGGGCGAAAGCCUGAUGCAGCGACGCCGCGUGGGGGAUGACGGCCUUCGGGUUGUAAACCUCUUUCAGCAGGGACGAAGCGUAAGUGACGGUACCUGCAGAAGAAGCGCCGGCCAACUACGUGCCAGCAGCCGCGGUAAUACGUAGGGCGCAAGCGUUGUCCGGAAUUAUUGGGCGUAAAGAGCUCGUAGGCGGGUUUAUCACGUCGGCUGUGAAAUCCUGAGGCUUAACCUUGGGCUUGCAGUCGAUACGGGUUGACUAGAGUGGAGCAGGGGAGACUGGAAAUUCCUGGUGUAGCGGUGAAAUGCGCAGAUAUCAGGAGGAACACCGGUGGCGAAGGCGGGUCUCUGGGCUUUAACUGACGCUGAGGAGCGAAAGCGUGGGUAGCGAACAGGAUUAGAUACCCUGGUAGUCCACGCCGUAAACGGUGGGCGCUAGGUGUGGGGACCAUUCCACGGUUUCCGUGCCGCAGCUAACGCAUUAAGCGCCCCGCCUGGGGAGUACGGCCGCAAGGCUAAAACUCAAAGGAAUUGACGGGGGCCCGCACAAGCGGCGGAGUAUGUUGCUUAAUUCGAUGCAACGCGAAGAACCUUACCAAGGCUUGACAUAUACCGAAAACUUGCAGAGAUGUGAGGUCCUUUGGGGCGGUAUACAGGUGGUGCAUGGUUGUCGUCAGCUCGUGUCGUGAGAUGUUGGGUUAAGUCCCGCAACGAGCGCAACCCUCGUUCUAUGUUGCCAGCACGUGAUGGUGGGGACUCAUAGGAGACCGCCGGGGUCAACUCGGAGGAAGGUGGGGAUGACGUCAAAUCAUCAUGCCCCUUAUGUCUUGGGCUGCAAACAUACUACAAUGGCCGGUACAAAGGGCUGCGAUACCGCGAGGUGGAGCGAAUCCCAGAAAGCCGGUCUCAGUUCGGAUUGGGGUCUGCAACUCGACCCCAUGAAGUCGGAGUCGCUAGUAAUCGCAGAUCAGCAACGCUGCGGUGAAUACGUUCCCGGGCCUUGUACACACCGCC